GGGAAAUCUUACCGGGUCCGGACAUACUGAGGAUUGACAGGUGCAAAAAUGUAAUAAUUUAUAUAUAAUUUAUUUUAUAUAUUUUUUUGUUACGUUAUCAAAUAUGCUAGUCCUUUCAUGAUUGUGUGAUAGGUGGUGCAUGGCCGUUCUUAGUUCGUGGAGUGAUCUGUCUGCUUAAUUGCGUUUCAUAAUAGCUCCUUAUAGACUUUUCUAUUGAUAUCAGCCUUAAUACUUGAGAAUGAUCGUGUUAUAUAUAUAUAUAUAUAUGAAUUAAUUUUCGUAUAUUAUAUUAUAUAAUUAUGUGAAUUUUUUGAGCUAAGGAUUUGAUUCAAAGUAAAAGCUGGAGCCUGAAGGCAACGA
rnacentral:rRNA from 1 species